rnacentral:pre_miRNA from 1 species
GUAAAAUCUGAUCCAAAGCUCACUGAAGUCAAUGGGAGUCUUUCCAUUGACUUCAAUGGGCUUUGAAUAAGGCCUUAAGAC